UGUCUACUUAUGUUGUGGGGUAUUCACCAGAGAAGACUGCUCAGAUGUGGAUUUAAGCAAAUAGAGAGUCUUUAUUGGCCUGCCAGUGACUAUCCUGGGUGUUCAGAAUCCCAGUAUAUACCCAAACUUUCUCAGAGUUGACAUACAUCAGAUAACAGAACAGUUAGCCAGAAGCAGAACUACCAAAGCCAAAAACCAAGGUUAGUACAUUUAGAGACUUUCCCAGAACUAUGGACUUUGAUGGAUUGGGUCUUCGUUUUAGUUUUGGUGGGUGGUGCUAUGUGCCUGAAUGGUGCUUUCAUCAUGAAGUCAGUUGGACUAAGGUCUUGAGACCUACAAAGUUCUGGUACCCUGUUAUAUUUACAAGGCCCAUACCUCUAUGUCAGUGAAGAAUUGAGAGCAUGCCAGGAGCAAAACAGCAUGAAACUGGCUGUGGCCAUUUAAACAUGUACCCUGCCCAUGUAGCCUGCAUCCACUGGGAGGGCACCUCUCCUCCUGUAUAACCUACUGUCAAGACUAAGCUUAAGUCAUUACUUCCAUGGGAAGCAAUGCAUAAAACCCAACUUGACUCUUCCCCUUGUGAGAUAUUUGCGGUGCCCCCCCCCCAAGAUUUUAGAAGACAGGCACCGUGUCAUUCUCUCCUCUACAGCCACAACUCAAGGCCCAACACAAUCCAGAUUGUAGACCAGUCUUCUGAAAGAACGUUUGAAGUCACCUCCAUUCUUAAAAUCCCACAAAGCAGCCAAUGAGAAAGGGUAGAGUUAAAAUUGAACCAAAUAUAAAACAGACUGAAAUAGUUUUUUUAAAAAAAUUGACUAAAAUGUCUUUGAGCAUGGCAAUAUCUUUAAUAAUGAACCAAUGUGAAGUGUACAGCCUGGAAGUUUAUUUAUUUUGAAUUGCAUAGGUUAGACAGUUACCUCAGAUUCAAAUAAUGUGAGCAGGGCUCACAGCAAUCCUCUCUGGAGAACACCGAUGUUAUCAGUUCCUUGAAGAAUACACCCAGAAGUAUUUUCUACCAUACAAAAUUGGAAGCAGGUGUGAUAGCAUAAGCCUAUAACCCCAGCACUCAGGGAGCUGAGGCAGGUUGGUGGCUAGUGCCAGACCAACCUGGGAUACAUGGUGAGAAUUUAUCAUCUUUAAAAAUCAGCUUUUUAAAAAGAGAGGGGUAUAUAAAAUUUACAAUUUCAUCGUAAUUGUGCCUGGGACAUGAGCUAACACAAUAAACUCUUAUUAGUGAUGAACCAAUAGAGUCCUAAUCAAAUUGAGUUCUUCAAAGCCAUUGUGGACAGAACCAGUGUGUGGUCGCUAUGAGGGGUUCUUGCCCUCUGUGAGAAUCCGGAGCUGAACUGGACCCUGCCCGGGAUGAGUCAUGAUUCUGAGAAAGGCUAAUUAGGAAGUGGUCACAGAAACACUUCUUUCCCCUUGGUGGUUUCAUGCUAUGCUAUUUCUGAGAGUACAUUUGAUACAGAAAACAGAUUUCAGAGUACAAGAAUUAAAGAAAAAGCAGAACCAAAAGCUUCAGGCAGGCCCUUCAACUAGGCUCAAUACUCUGCAGUUCCCUUGCUGGCCUGCAGGAUGAACCAUGUUCUGGGAAUCCCUCCCAAUGGGGGGGGGGGGGGAUUAACUGUGGAAAGCCCUUGGAAAAAGGACCAAGGUGAGGAAGACCCAGUCUCCUGGAUGUGGCCACACUCUUCUCAGAUGAGUGGAAGAGGGAGACAGGAAAGAGCCGAGUGGUGAGGUUAAGAUGUGAUCUCAAAAAUAAGUCCUAUUCUUCCCUCUCCCAGGUUGUAAUCCCCCUUGUGUCUUUUUUCUGUUUUGGUUUUUUGAGACAGGGUUUCUCUGUGGCUUUGGAGGCUGUCCUGGAACUAGCUCUUGUAGACCAGGCUGGUCUCGAACUCACAGAGAUCCACCUGCCUCUGCCGCCCUUGAGUGCUGGGACUAAAGGUGUGCGCCACCACCGCCUGGUCCCUUAUAUCCUUUCUAGAAAUGAACUCAAGGGACAAACUGAUGAGGAAAAGUGAGCCUGCCCAACACUCUCAGAAUCUGACAGUCUUAAUGGUGCCGCAGCCACUGGCUUCUGAAGAGGACCCGGUAAACAAUCUUCAUCACUGGUAUAUUUUCUUGGAAGAAGUGCACAUGGUGUAGUCCGUGUGGGGAAGACGCUUUCCUACCAGCAGGACAACUCCAUCCUUUUUCACCUGCUCUACCAUCUAUGCCAUCGGGGAACUGUCAGUCCAGAUUUAAAGUCUUCCUGAGGCUCACAAAUACUCUGUUUGGAUGUUUAUCAUUAUCUCCCAUGGGAACUCUGGCUUGACACAAAUUUUGUGAAAUUUGCUUGUGAGAGACCUGCCGGGGUGCCAGAGUUGCAGCUCAGUUGGCAGAGUGUUUGCCUAGAAUCAAUGAAGCCUUGGAAGUGGUGGAACACGCCUAUAAUCACAGCAGGAGAACUAGAAGCUGCCGGCUUGGAUACUUGAGACCCUAUCUUUUGGAAAAGUGACCAUCACUGGCUUUUUGGGUUUUCAUUCCUUCCUAAGUGCUUCGUCAUCAACUUAAAAACCUUAUUAACAAGCCAGGCAGGAAAAAUAAAAAAAUAAAAAAAUAAAAACCAAGCUGGGCAGGUGGUGGAUCUCAGUGAGUUCAAGACAGCCUAGACUGAGUUCCCAGGACAGCCAAGGACAGAAAACAAAAAAACCUUAUUUACAUGCCAAUGUAAACCACUCAAAGCCUCCAGAGCCUCUCCUAGCUCACAAGCAUUAAGCUACAGAACCCAAACAAAGCCACAAAUUCCUCCUGAAUUAGCUUCUCUCUUAACUCUUUUAUGGAACAGACCUAUAUCUAGCCAGGUGCAUGGAACAUCAAACACUGUCUCCCUCAUGCCCCACUUCCACAACAAUACCUGUCAUUCCUCUGUUGCCUUCUGGUAUCCGGCAUUCACCAGGACAACAGUCAGUAUAACCAAGUGUCUGCAAUGGCUUGUCUGGUUUAUCUCAUAGUUCCUCAGCUGUUGGAACCUUUGUGUCUAGGAGGAACUAAUGCUUACAUUACUGGAUUUCUCUGCAUCCACAGCACUCAGACUGAUCCUGUAGGAAACAUUUUGCAGAGGGCUGACAGCAUCUCUGAAGCCCCC
ensembl:lncRNA